GACGAACGCUGGCGGCGUGCUUAACACAUGCAAGUCGAACGGAAAGGCCCUGCUUUUGUGGGGUGCUCGAGUGGCGAACGGGUGAGUAACACGUGAGUAACCUGCCCUUGACUUUGGGAUAACUUCAGGAAACUGGGGCUAAUACCGGAUAGGAGCUCCUGCUGCAUGGUGGGGGUUGGAAAGUUUCGGCGGUUGGGGAUGGACUCGCGGCUUUUCAUCUUGUUGGUGGGGUAGUGGCUUACCAAGGCUUUGACGGGUAGCCGGCCUGAGAGGGUGACCGGCCACAUUGGGCCUGAGGUACGACCCAGACUGCUACGGGAGGCAGCAGUGGGGAAUAGUGCGCAAUGGGCGGAAGGCUGAUGCAGCAACGCCGCGUGCGGGAUGACGGCUUUCGGGUUGUAAACCGCUUUCGCCUGUGACGAAGCGUGAGUGACGGUAAUGGGUAAAGAAGCACCGGCUAACUACGUG
rnacentral:rRNA from 1 species